AUUGAACGCUGGCGGCAGGCCUAACACAUGCAAGUCGAGCGGAGCGGCGGACGGGGGAGUAAUGCCUAGGAAUCUGCCUGGUAGUGGUGUAUAACGUCCGGCAACGGGCGCUCAUACCUAAUACUAUCAGUUGAGUCUAGGUCGGAUUAGCUAGUUGGUGGGGUAAAGGCCUACCAAGGCGACGAUCCGUAACUGGUCUGAGAGGAUGAUCAGUCACACUGGAACUGAGACACGGUCCAGACUCCUACGGGAGGCAGCAGUGGGGAAUAUUGGACAAUGGGCGAAAGCCUGAUGCAGCCAUGCCGCGUGUGUGAAGAAGGUCUUCGGAUUGUAAAGCACUUUAAGUUGGGAGGCGGUACCAGCAGAAUAAGCACCGGCUAACUUCGUGCCAGCAGCCGCGGUAAUAC
rnacentral:rRNA from 1 species